UGGAUAUUAAAAAAAAUGAUUUACACUUUUGAAACAUGUACUGUUGAAAAGCUAAUAAAAAUCAAAGAAUUUAAAACCUAAAAGCUUUAAUAAAAGAUUUAAAAGAACAAAGUUUAACCCCCUUUAAAAGAGGAUCGCAAACAGGGUAUAGUAUUGAAAUCAAAAAAGUAAAACUAAUAAAUCUUAUUACAUGUUCUUACAACUAAAUCAAAUUUAGACAACUCUAAUUACCACUAGUCCCAAAGACUCGAUCUUGGAUACUCUUCUUAGUCACUUGCAAUCCUGGCCUAGCCUUACUCUUAUGCUUAGCCUAAAUAGGCGAACCAUCUUUAAUAUUAUCUCAAAGGGGUUAGAAGAAAUAACAAGAAUGAGCAAAAGAAUGCUCAGCAAGUAUAUAAUAUCCAAACCAACAAUAAAUCAAACAGUAUGUAAAACCUGACAAUGAUAUAAAGAUAAUGAUACCAACACAAUAUGAUUUAAACAAAACAGUUUCUCCUUUAUGGAAUUGGAACCAGAUAAGACGCUACGAGCUAAGCUGGGUGAUCAGCCCACGACAUAGCUCCGAACCCGCAUAUUCAAUACGAGUUCUCAAAUAUAAAGGAUCCUAGGCACACUUUGGCCUUUAAUAAUUCAAUUGGGACCGGCGCCUCGGUCAUAAAACAUUUUCAUCCAAUUCCCUUUCUAAAACUGAUAAAUCAAAUCAUUUUUCAUUUCAAAACCAAGGUUCAAAAUCUGUAAGCAACAAUGAUUCUCAACCAAAUAUUCAUUUCAACACCUUAGCAUUAGAGUUCUACUAAUUAAGUAUUCUUUAUC
rnacentral:lncRNA from 1 species